GUGUCCAGGGCCGGAUGCCACCCAGUCAGCCCCACCAGCCAUGCAGGCAGCCGGCCCUGGCCAUCCCGACCUUAGAUCUUCCCCCGUGAUGAUGCCAAACCCUGUCCUCACUCAGAGGGGUGAGGAAGCAGAUGUUGAGGGGGCACAGAGCCAGAGAACCGAUUGGAAGGAUGUGGAAGUAACUGCGGAAAGAGGCCUCAGCGUUUCCAAGUUCAAAUCCCAAAGCCACCUGGAGGCCCGGGAAGCCGCUCUUCACGGGAAAGGGAACAGGAAGACGUCCAGUUGUUCACGAUCUUCAGUCUGAAACCCAAGGCGCCAACCUUGUCAUCAAGGAGCUGCCCCACCUCCCGGCCGAGGAGCGUGGACAGGAACCAACAGACAUGGUCAACGCAGAUGUCGAUCCAA